GGCAAUAUCCGGUGUACGCAUCCUCACCGUGUGUCUGAUCAUGUCUCGUAACGCAUUUCAUGACUGUUUGGUGAGAACAGCACAUACAACUUGCAAUUUCACAUAUGAAUUUGAAAGUUCGGCGUCAACCAUGCCAAUGGCCUGAUGGCGUUGAUCGUGCCUUAAACGUGGCAUUCUUGGCAAGGAUUUUCUGUUUUUCUUAACGUAUUCCUUUUAGUCUGUCGGCAAUGAAUGAUUUGCCAUAGAAUUUUCGUACCUGUCGACAUUGCUGGAAAAAGAUAUUUUGCACAUGCAGCCUGUGCCUCAAAUGGAGUUAUUUAAUCGAAUUUGACAAAUCUUUACACCAGUCACGUCUCAGUUGCGUCAAAAAUAUAGUUGUGUUAUGCUUUUAAUGUAGUCCAAUGCGAUUUUUAAAAUAUAAGAGCCAUUAGGGUGGUAACUUUUCAUUGAUGCUGAGUAUAUUUGACAAAAAUGAAGCCCAAGCUGUACAAACUUCAGCUCCUUCUGCAUCCAGUGUUGUAAUCAGCAUUGCGCUGUGACGUAAAAUAUUUGUUCCAAGGGGCCUCAAAUGGGGUACCCAAAAAGAAGUUAUUUUCCACAUGAGGUGAGGUAUCAUCAUAAAACCUAACAUUAUACAGCCUUGUAAAACAGUGGUUAGUUGUAGACAUGAAGAAUAAACAUCCAAAUGAUCCAGAUGAAACAACUGUGUGAAUAACGCUAAAAUGAAAUGGUUACUACAUGUGUCCAGAAACUGGUCCUGUGCGGAUAUAGGUGUGAAACCAAUACAAUGUUGUGUACCAGUAAGCUGUACUUGCUGUUUUAAUUGAACAGUAAAGAAAGCAGAGUGUUACAGACACAAGGGUAGUUCUGACUAAUACAACUUAACUGGCGCUGUUUUUAUUUUCUGAUGGUUGCGUCCAGAUUUUAGAUUUUGAAUCCUUCAAGUACAUGUAGUUAUUUAAUAAAAUUGUCUUGGGGCCAAUACGACUGCCCUAAGACAAGUAAGAGGGCCAAUAUCAGAUCAUUUAUUAACAAUGUUACAUAUAAUACUAGUAUGAGCUGCGCCAUGAGAAAACCAGCUUAGUGCAUUUGCAGAUGUGCAGGCUGGUAAGGAUCCAUGCUGUUCUCUUUCAAAGCCUAUUGCACUAAGAAAAACCUUUAGCAAACAGCAUGGAUCCUGACCAGACUGUGUGGAUGGGCAGGCUGGUCUGGAUCCGUGCUGGUCGCAAAUGCAAUAUGUUGGUUUUCUCGUGGUGCGGUUGAUGUAAAUUUGCGUGAAAAAUUGCAGUUACAUGUAUUGUAUUAAUAUACUUUGUAUUUAUUAACUAACAUUUAUGUACCGUUUCAGAUGUUAUAUAGGGAAGCAUUUCUUUUGUAUGGCAGAUAAUGCUGCAGUGAGAAACCAAGAAAUUCCUAUUGUUGUGUGCCAUGGAGUGUCAUGGAAAAGGGAUAUGGAAAAUACAGGGAUAAGGAUGUGUGAAGCUGCAGGAAAGCAAGCUGGAAGCUAUAUUCCCAGAAUUCCAGGAGAAUAGGGGCUGUACGUCAGUGAAGGGUAUUGUUAUGAGAUGUAGGGAGUUGCUCAACAGAGUGAAUUGUUUGUGUUUAUACUGGGUACUGAACAAUAUGGUGUAGAGAUAUUUGGAUUGUUUUGGCUGGAUAGUUUGUACAGUAUGGUGAAACUAGAGGAUGAAAGCUCUCAUACAAGAAGCAAGUCCUCAGAUUCCAGUCAGGUUGAGUUGACAGUAUUUGUACAAGAGAAUGCCAUGCCAAGGUUUGUGAGUGGUCAGCGUUAUCUGAAUGAACGUGUCUAGCACCACAGUCCAUAGAGUACAGAAACUUCUCACUGCUGCAUACAACUAUGACUUUGAGCCUUACUACAAACCCCAUAAAGGUAAUGUGUUUUCAUUUAAUUUCAUUGCCAUGAGAUUUUUUGGUUUGAGUCAAAACAUCUAUUUUAUCUUGUCAAUUAAGAAAACUUUGCACUAAUGUAAUGUUUUGUUUCCUCAGAGAAAACAGUAUUACAGGGGGUAUUAGUCACUUAGUGAUUGCUCUAGCUUUCUCAUACACUAUUUCAGUAUUGAAAUACUAACUAGAGUGCCCUGUCUCUUCCGACAGCCCUUGUUUCAAUCUUGAGUAACACAUGUACAGCAAACAGUUAACGUAAAUAAGAAAUUCAGCUGUUCUUCACUUUAUAGACAAGGCUGAUACAAUUGUUUUGAACCAAGGAGUCAGAAAUUUUUAAAUAGAAAAUCAUAUCAAACACUAUUUUAGAGAUUUUGGUUGCCUUGUGUAAAUUUCUGUAUCUAUUUAUAGCAAAAUUUAAAUUACAGCCUGUCAAUAUCAAUGUUAGUAUUUCACCUUUAAAAGUCAGUAAUUUCCAAAAGCCAGUAAUUUAGAAAUUUCACUGUAGCAUUUUGGUUGCCAUGCAGGGCCUCCACUGGGCGUCAGAAAGUUGUAGCCACUUUUUGAGAGGAACUGCCAAAUUGACGCUAAAUAGCUGAAAUUUGGCCACAUUUUUAGUUCACCUGAGCCAAAGGCUCAUGGUGAACUUCAGUGACCGCUCAAUGUUCGUCGUCAGUCGUGUGUCAUCCGUCCGUCAACAUUUUCUAGAAAAAUCUUCUUUUUGAAAACCACUUGGCAGAAUUACAUCAAACUUCACAGGAAUGAUCCUUAGGUGGUUCCCUUUCAAAAUUGUUCAAAGAA
rnacentral:lncRNA from 1 species